UACGUAGGGGGCUAGCGUUAUCCGGAAUUACUGGGCGUAAAGGGUGCGUAGGUGGUUUCUUAAGUCAGAGGUGAAAGGCUACGGCUCAACCGUAGUAAGCCUUUGAAACUGGGAAACUUGAGUGCAGGAGAGGAGAGUGGAAUUCCUAGUGUAGCGGUGAAAUGCGUAGAUAUUAGGAGGAACACCAGUUGCGAAGGCGGCUCUCUGGACUGUAGCUGACACUGAGGCACGAAAGUGUGGGGAGCAAACAGG
rnacentral:rRNA from 1 species